rnacentral:sRNA from 1 species
UUUGCGUUAGGGAUAGCAGCGGAAAUCCUUUUGUGAGGGACGAGCAAAAGAUUGUAGUGAAUAGCCCGACCCGCA